GUCCGAGCGUCAUUUCUGCCCUCGAGGGAGUUCCAGCAUCUAGGUGCUGGCUCCCGCCCGGCGUUGGGGCACUACGGUAGAGCCUUGUGCUGCCCGUAGGCCCUGAAAUGAAGUGGCGGUCCUGCCGCGGCGCCCCCUGCGUAGUAUAACAGCUCGCUUCGGGACCCGGUGGAGGCCUGCCGUCAAACCUAUAUUCUCUAAGUUUGACCUCGGAUCAGGUAGGGUUACCCGCUGAACUUAAGCAUAUCAAUAAGCGGAGGAAAAGAAACCAACAGGGAUUGCCUCAGUAACGGCGAGUGAAGCGGCAACAGCUCAAAUUUGAAAUCUGGUCCCCUCUGGGGGCCCGAGUUGUAAUUUGAAGAGGAUGCUUUUGGCGAGGCGCCUUCCGAGUGCCCUGGAACGGGACGCCACAGAGGGUGAGAGCCCCGUAUGGUAGGACGCCGAGCCUCUGUAAAGCUCCUUCGACGAGUCGAGUAGUUUGGGAAUGCUGCUCAAAAUGGGAGGUAAACCCCUUCUAAAGCUAAAUAUUGGCCAGAGACCGAUAGCGCACAAGUAGAGUGAUCGAAAGAUGAAAAGCACUUUGAAAAGAGAGUUAAACAGCACGUGAAAUUGUUGAAAGGGAAGCGCUUGCGACCAGACUUGCGCCCGUCGGAUCAACCGUCCCUCGUGGGCGGCGCACUCCGGCGGGCUCAGGCCAGCAUCAGUUUUCCUGGGGGUAGAAAGGCGGUGGGAAUGUAGCUCCUCGGAGUGUUAUAGCCCGCCGCGUAAUGCCCUCGGGGGGACUGAGGACCGCGCGUAUGCAAGGAUGCUGGCGUAAUGGUCGUCAGCGACCCGUCUUGAAACACGGACCAAGGAGUCGUCCUAAUAUGCGAGUGUACGGGUGUAAAACCCCUGCGCGUAAUGAAAGUGAACGGAGGUGAGAGCUUCGGCGCAUCAUCGACCGAUCCUGAUGUUCUCGGAUGGAUUUGAGUAAGAGCAUAUUGGGCCGGACCCGAAAGAAGGUGAACUAUGCCUGUAUAGGGUGAAGCCAGAGGAAACUCUGGUGGAGGCUCGCAGCGGUUCUGACGUGCAAAUCGAUCGUCAAAUAUGGGCAUGGGGGCGAAAGACUAAUCGAACCUUCUAGUAGCUGGUUUCCGCCGAAUUUCCCCUCAGG
rnacentral:sRNA from 1 species